UACGAAGGGGGCUAGCGUUGCUCGGAAUGACUGGGCGUAAAGGGCGCGUAGGCGGCUCAUACAGUCAGGCGUGAAAUUCCUGGGCUCAACCUGGGGACUGCGCUUGAGACGUGUGGGCUUGAGUGGGGAAGAGGGUCGUGGAAUUCCCAGUGUAGAGGUGAAAUUCGUAGAUAUUGGGAAGAACACCGGUGGCGAAGGCGGCCUGCUGGGCUAUGGCUGACACUGAGGCGCGACAGCGUGGGGAGCAAACAGG
rnacentral:rRNA from 1 species